GAUGAACGCUGGCGGCGUGCCUAAUACAUGCAAGUCGAGCGAAUGGAUUGAGAGCUUGCUCUUAUGAAGUUAGCGGCGGACGGGUGAGUAACACGUGGGUAACCUGCCCAUAAGACUGGGAUAACUCCGGGAAACCGGGGCUAAUACCGGAUAACAUUUUGAACCGCAUGGUUCGAAAUUGAGAGGCGGAUUUGGCUGUCACUUAUGGAUGGACCCGCGUCGCAUUAGCUAGUUGGUGAGGUAACGGCUCACCAAGGCAACGAUGCGUAGCCGACCUGAGAGAGUGAUCGGCCACACUGGGACUGAGACACGGCCCAGACUCCUACGGGAGGCAGCAGUAGGGAAUCUUCCGCAAUGGACGAAAGUCUGACGGAGCAACGCCGCGUGAGUGAUGAAGGCUUUCGGGUCGUAAAACUCUGUUGUUAGGGAAGAACAAGUGCUAGUUGAAUAAGCUGGCACCUUGACGGUACCUAACCAGAAAGCCACGGCUAACUACGUGCCAGCCGCCGCCGUAA
rnacentral:rRNA from 1 species